rnacentral:rRNA from 1 species
AUACGGAGGAUCCGAGCGUUAUCCGGAUUUAUUGGGUUUAAAGGGUGCGCAGGCGGGAGAUUAAGUCGGCGGUGAAAUUUUGCAGCUCAACUGUAAAAGUGCCUUCGAAACUGGUUUCCUUGAGUGUAGAUGAAGUAGGCGGAAUUUGUGGUGUAGCGGGGAAAUGCAUAGAUAUCACGAGGAAAUCCGAUUGCGCAGGCAGCUUACUAAACUACUACUGACGCUCAGGCACGAAGGCGUGGGGAUCAAACAGGAUUAGAUACCCUGGUAGUCCGCACGGUAAACGAUGAUUACCCGCUGUCGGCGGCAGACAGUCGGCGGUCAAGCGAAAGCGAUAAGUAAUCCACCUGGGGAGUACGCCGGCAACGGUGAAACUCAAAGGAAUUGGCGGGG